CCGGACCUGACUGCUAUCGGAUUGGUACUAAGCCAUGCGAGUCAUUGUAGCAAUACAAGGCGGACGGCUCAGUAACACGUAGUCAACCUAACCUAUGGACGUGGAUAACCUCGGGAAACUGAGAAUAAACCGCGAUAGAUCAUUAUGCCUGGAAUGGCUUAUGGUUCAAACAAUUUAUUGCCGUAGGAUGGGACUGCGGCCUAUCAGCUUGUUGGUGAGGUAAUGGCCCACCAAGGCUAUAACAGGUACGGGCUCUGAGAGGAGAAGCCCGGAGAUGGGUACUGAGACACGGACCCAGGCCCUAUGGGGCGCAGCAGGCGAGAAACCUUAGCAAUGUGCGAAAGCACGACUAGGUUAAUCCGAGUGAUUCCUGUUGAAGGAAUCUUUUGUCAGUCGUAAAACCACAGACGAAUAAGGGGUGGGCAAGUCUGGUGUCAGCCGCCGCGGUAAUACCAGCACCCCGAGUGGUCAGGAGGUUUAUUGGGCCUAAAGCAUCCGUAGCCGGCUUUGCAAGUCUCCGGUUAAAUCCAGCUGCUCAACAGAUGGGCUGCCGGAGAUACUACACAGCUAGGGAGCGGGAGAGGCAGACGGUAUUCUGUGGGUAGGGGUAAAAUCCAUUGAUCCAUAGAGGACCACCAGUGGCGAAGGCGGUCUGCCAGAACGCGUUCGACGGUGAGGGAUGAAAGCUGGGGGAGCAAACCGGAUUAGAUACCCGGGUAGUCCCAGCUGUAAGCGAUGCAAACUCGGUGAUGCAUUGGCUUAUGGGCCAAUGCAGUGCCGCAGGAAGCCGUUAAGUUUGCCGCCUGGGAAGUACGGACGCAAGUCUGAACUUAAGGAAUUGGCGGGGGAGCA
rnacentral:rRNA from 1 species